rnacentral:rRNA from 1 species
CCUACGGGUGGCAGCAGUGAGGAAUAUUGGUCAAUGGGCGAGAGCCUGAACCAGCCAAGUCGCGUGAAGGAUGAAGGAUCUAUGGUUUGUAAACUUCUUUUAUAUGGGAAUAAAGUGAGGAACGUGUUCCUUUUUGUAUGUACCCUAUGAAUAAGCAUCGGCUAACUCCGUGCCAGCAGCCGCGGUAAUACGGAGGAUGCGGUCGUUAUCCGGAUUUAUUGGGUUUAAAGGGUGCGUAGGUGGUUAAUUAAGUCAGCGGUGAAAGUUUGUGGCUCAACCAUAAAAUUGCCGUUGAAACUGGUUGACUUGAGUAUAUUUGAGGUAGGCGGAAUGCGUGGUGUAGCGGUGAAAUGCAUAGAUAUCACGCAGAACUCCGAUUGCGAAGGCAGCUUACUAAACUAUAACUGACACUGAAGCACGAAAGCGUGGGGAGCAAACAGGAGUAGAUACCCUUGUAGUC